ensembl:ncRNA Y69A2AR.45 ncRNA
UGGAAAUUUUAAAGAUGAUUCCGGCCAUUCUCGGUCAUGGUAGCUCAAAAAUUCUGCGGAGCACAAAUGCACCAUUGCACCAAGAGUUCAUUGGGGCGCGAUUGCACUGUCGCUUCAAUUGAGUCCACGCAGCACAAGUAGCUCACUUUG